GGAGGGUUCGCAUAGUGGUCUAGUGCGCACGCUUGGAAAGCGUGUGUGGGGCAACUCACCAAGGGUUCGAAUCCCUUACCCUCCG
rnacentral:tRNA from 1 species